CAGAUAGUAGUUGGCCCAAAAGGCAUAUGAAGGGAGUUUGCGGCACUUUUUGAUUUGCUUUUCCAAUUGCACGGCGCCUCAGAUCAAAGCCAGGCAGCGCGACCUUAUCAAGCAUAACGCUGGCGCUUCCUUCCCACUUACCCAACUACCUCGACUCUAUCAAAUAUGGGCUCUAUUCGAAUUAGAUUGAUUAUCGAUGACUUCAUAACGGUAACGUAUGCAAAUAGCAUGAAUGAAUAAUGAAUAUGAAUAGCAUAUGAUUCGCUUUACUAUCU